rnacentral:lncRNA from 1 species
GCGCGUAUGCGGAUAGGUCCCGGGCCUGGAACGCAUAGAUCGGCUGCAGGUUACUGUCAUUUGUACUGGUGCACUUUCAUGAGCUUAUCACGAUUGCGCGUAUGUAGAGGAGCAUGCGCCAGCCGGCGCAUGUUGCUCGCUCGUAUGUAGAGGAGCAUGCGCCAGCCGACGCAUGUGUGUUCGCUCGUAUGUAGGGGAGAAUGCGCCUGCCGGCGACUUACGUGCUCGUAUGUAGAGGAGCAUGCGCCAGCCGGCGCAUGUGUGCUCGCUCGUAUGUAGGGGAGCAUGCGUCUGCCGGUGACUUACGUGCUCGUAUGUAGAGGAGCAUGCGCCAGCCGGCGACUUACGUGCUCGAAUGUAGAGGAGCAUGCGCCAGCCGGCGCAUGUGUGCUCGCUCGUAUGUAGAGGAGCAUUCGCCAGCCGCCGAUGCAUUUGUGCUCGCUCGUAUGUAGAGGAGCAUGCGUCUGCCGCCGACUUACGUGCUCGUAUGUAGAGGAGCAAGCGCCAGCCGGUGACUUACGUGCUCGUAUGUAGAGGAGCAUGCGCCAGCCGACGAAAGUGUGCUCACUCGUAUGUAGAGGAGCAUGCGCCUGCCGGCGACUUAUGUGCUCGUAUGUAGAGGAGCAUGCGCCAGCCGGCGCAUGUGUGCUCGCUCAUAUGUAGAGGAGCAUGCGCG